CAAACCACCCUGAGCUCUGCAAACACACCAGAGCGAGGGGCCUUCGUCCGAAUGCUGCAGCCUCUUUAUUCUGUGAGAUCACAAAGACUGAGUGCAUCAGAUUCUCAGAGCAGCCAGCGGAAUGUAGAAUGCAGACCACCCCAAGCUCUGCAAACAUGCCAGAGCGAGGGUGGCCUUCAUCCGAAUGCUGCAGCCUCUUUAUUCCGUGAAAUCCCUGAGCACAAAGACCAUGAACAUGUCAGGUUCUCCACACAGCAGCCAGCAGAAUGUAGAAUGCAUCAGGGCAGCUGUGCUGUGAGGCUGCAAUGACUCAAAUCAUCUAAUGGUCUGCACCUGAAAAGCCGAAAUGGGAAUGAAUGUUUGGAACAUAACUUAUUGGAAAGGCGGAAAGUAUGUACAAAGAAAUUCUCACAUGUUUCAGGUUAACUUUAAUAGGAAAAUAUGCCCCACCUUCAGGGAAAUAGAUGUUAGGGGCUGGAUGGUGUCCCCUUAAAAUUCAUAUGUCAAAGUCCCAACCCUCAGUAUCUCAGAAAGUUGUGAUAUUUAGAGACUGGGAUUUUAAACCGGUGAUUAAGUUAAAAGGGCCUUUUCGGUGGGCUGUAAUCCAAUCUGACUAGUGUCCUUAUAAGAAGCGUCAGCUCACAGAGGAAAAGCCAUUUGAGGCCUCAGGAGAAACCAACCCUGCCAACACCUUAACCAGCCUCUAAAAAUGUGAGAAAUAAAUGUGUUGUUUAAGCCACUCAGUCUGUAGUAUUUUGUUAGGGCAGCCCCAGCAAACUAAUGUCCUAGCAGACUAUAGCAUGUACACUGCGUUCAUUGAGACCACAUUCUCUGUACACAUAUCUCCAGAAUGCCUGUAAUUUGCACACAUCACCACAAGUCUUAAAAGGAUUUGAAAAUAUUGUGUUUUUCUGGCCUCAUUUAAAAUCCAGUCUGUCUGUCCUGAGAAGCAAAUCACGUACAGUUUGCAAGGUAAUACUUAAGUACCUAAAUGUUGAGAUUUACAUACAGUAAGAUCUCACGUAUCCAGAAAUAAUUGAAUACUUGGAGGUUCUAACACAUUGCCCCUAUUAAUAGACAAUUCUGACAAGCGCAGAUAGCUGAUGUCCCCACCAAACAUAUAGAAUAAUGUUUGCAAUGAGUGGAGAGGAGGACUAACGGCAGACACAGUUAAGGCUCAGGAAGAGACGGCCAGAGCCUGAGAGCAAAAAGAUAUGGGGAGAAUCAAUGGGAACCACUGAAGAACAGCCCCUUCUAUCUUAAUGUCUCCUGAGAGUGUCAGGUUACCAUGGCACCUGUUUUGAUGCCCAAGACAGCAAGAAAAAUGAUGUAACCUAAUGUACUACAUUUAAGAAGAAAUAAAGUAUGUGGUAUAUUUUGGAAACAUUUUUAUACAUCUUAGCUAAAAUGUUUAAAAGGUUAUUGCUUAAAUAAGUCAGCUUCAUUUAUCUGAACAUUUAAAUUAUGCAGAGAAGCUCAUCUCCCAGCUUUGGCAAAUAAGCAAGAUGUUUCUGUGCUAGUUUUCAAGCAUGAAUCAUCUUCAUAGAUCACAUCAGCGCAUUGAUCACACCAAAAGAAGUGUCUGGGUAACCACUCCUUUGCUUUGAUUUCUAGAGUCAAACGCUAACAGAUUUGAAGGACAUGAGAAAGCCUGAAUACCAUCCUCUCCAAACAGUGGGCCCCUCAAUCUGAACCUUGAAGCUGAAAUACGAUUCCUACUUCAUGUACAAAACACAUUUUUUAUUUUGCAAAGCCAAAGCCAUGCUUUAAAAAUACAGACUUUGAAUCUUAAGACAUUAUUUUGCAUUUUAAAGAGAGAUAUAGUUAAAGCUUACAAGAACAAUAUAAAGUUUCAAAUAACACCAUUGUCAGGUUUAAACAUGUUGGUAUGUUUACAUGACAGUUCUUUCCUUUUUUUUUUUUUUUUUUUUUGAGAUGGAGUCUCGCUUUGUCACCCAGGCUGGAGUGCAAUGGCACGAUCUCGGCUCACUGCAACCUCUGCCUCCUGGGUUCAAGCGAUUCUCUUGCCUCAGCCUCCCAAGUAGCUGGGAUUACAGGCACCCGCCACCACGCCUGGCAAAUUUUUGUAUUUUUAGUAGAGAGGGGUUUCGCCAUGUUGGCCAGGCUGGUCUCAAACUCCUGACCUCAAGUGAUCCACCCAUCUUAGCUUCCCAAAAUGCUGGGAUUACAGGUGUGAGCCACCAUGCCUAGCCCAUGACAGUACCUUCCUAACAUGUGUUUGUAUUUUUGUAACACAAGUUGCUAUUUUUCUAAUGUUCAUAUAUUUACAUAGCCCUUUAAAAACAUGAGUUCCAUGAACUUUCUAUGUCAUUGAAGAGAGCUGUUAAAAUCUGAUUCCAUCACAAAUUUCAGACCCCUUUAAAAUAAUUAUCAGAAGCCAGCAUAAUUCCAGCUGUCCCCUAGCUAAUCUGCAGCUCCUCAUAACAAAAGUCUUCAGCCACACAUUGCUCUUCAACCACAUUAAAGAAACGGAACAAAACUUCUUUCUACAUUGUCUCAGUAAAGUUGCUUUCUUUAAAAAAAAAAAAAAA